rnacentral:tRNA from 1 species
GGGGAUAUAGCUCAGAGGUAGUGCAUUUGUCUAGCAUGCAGAAUGCUCUGGGUUCAAUCCUCAGCAACCCCC